rnacentral:rRNA from 1 species
GCUUACACAUGCAAGUCGAACGGUGAAAGAGAGCUUGCUCUCUGGAUCAGUGGCGAACGGGUGAGUAACACGUGAGCAAUCUGCCCCUGACUCUGGGAUAACAGCUGGAAACAGCUGCUAAUACCGGAUACGAGCUGCGAAGGCAUCUUCAGCAGCUGGAAAGAAUUUCGGUCAGGGAUGAGCUCGCGGCCUAUCAGCUUGUUGGUGAGGUAAUGGCUCACCAAGGCGUCGACGGGUAGCCGGCCUGAGAGGGUGACCGGCCACACUGGGACUGAGACACGGCCCAGACUCCUACGGGAGGCAGCAGUGGGGAAUAUUGCACAAUGGGCGAAAGCCUGAUGCAGCAACGCCGCGUGAGGGACGACGGCCUUCGGGUUGUAAACCUCUUUUAGCAAGGAAGAAGCGAAAGUGACGGUACUUGCAGAAAAAGCGCCAGCUAACUACGUGCC